rnacentral:rRNA from 1 species
CUACGGGAGGCAGCAGUGAGGAAUAUUGGACAAUGGAUGGAAAUCUGAUCCAGCCAUGCCGCGUGCAGGAAGACGGCCCUAUGGGUUGUAAACUGCUUUUAUAUGGGAGCAAUAAGGUUUACGAGUAGACCGAUGAGAGUACCAU